UAUAUUCUUCAAGCAUCUUCUUCAUCAUCUUCAUUUGAAUCUUCAAAAACCCAGACAAAAAUUCCUUCAACAAACAUUGAAUAUUCAUUCACUUCACAUAUCUUCAUCUCCAAAGUCCAAACCCAGAAUAUAAUUACCCCAAGCCUGGCAGCCCCCCAAAUGCACUGAGAUUUGGGAAGUUUUAAUUUGCAAAAUUAGAAGCAGAUUUCAGAAACCUAAACCUAAGCACAAAGGGGACAAGUUAAUUGCAGCAAAGGAGUGAGUGAGAAAGAGAGAGAUAACAGGGUGAGAAUAAAGAGAGCAAAUUGAAUUGAGCACCAAAGGCCACUGGAACCGGGGCGGUGACUGCAACUGGUGGUAAGUCCCUGCGUCUCUCUCGCACAAACCUUCUUUGUAUCUCACUACACUCAGAUCUAACAACAUCAACUCAGAUCCACAAAACCCAGAAAAUCCAUAUCGAAAACCAAUCCCUGCCUGAAGGAGAAGAAGGAUCCAUCAGCGCUGCUUGUUUGGGCAUUUUCAGCUUCGUUCUUCAACCUUCAGUUUCGUUCUCCAGGACUCUACAAUUUUUGGGGUUUCGUUCUCCAAUUUGGGCUACUGUGACUCUCUAUGCAUGCUUCAUUCCUCAAUUAGGGUUUUUCUUCUUCUUCCAGAUCAACACCACCAUGAACUUGAACAUCUUCAAGAAGAAAACCUCAUCCAAAGAACUGCAUUAAGGAAGUACUUCAAGCAGUGUCCAUAUCCUGAUGAAAAGCAUAUAAAAGAUUUGGGCUAUGAUUUCGAUCAUUUGCAAGUCAAGUUUUGGUUUCAAAAGAGAGUAUGGUAGGUAGGUGCUGUGUGGAAUUAGGGAGAGAGGGAAGAACAGAGAGAAUAGAGAGGGAAACAAGGAAAAAGAAGUAUCAUUAUCAUUAACAAUAUUCAACAUAUCUCAACUACAAGGCCAAUCCCUAUUUAUAUGCGUAACAAUAUGCAAAUGGAGUUGCUUCUUCAUGGAAACGAUCCUUGAUUGGUCUUUUGCUGUUAUCCAUUGUGCUUGCUGUGAUAGUUUUGAGAAACAAAAAGAAAGCUUAUAAUGAGAUAUUAAUUGUUCAGAUUUUGUGACAAAUUACUAACAUACUGGUGAAGAUAUUGAUGAGAAUUUGUGACAUAUUACUGAGAUAUUGUUGCAACUGUGAUCUUAUCGGAUAUUAUGGCCCCGUUUGGAAGAGAUAUUUUAGCAUUACCUAUAAGUUGUUUUGAACUUGUUUUCAUAAGUUGUUCAGAUUAAAUCAUGAAUAAGCACUUAUGCCUACCUAUAACAAAUUUUCAGUUUAUUUCAAUUAGCUUCUCAAAUAAUCUUAUGAAUAGCACUGAAUUAAGCUAUCUACCUAAGGGCAUCUUAUAUGUAUUGGAUAUGCUGAAUCUAAUAAUAUCGCAUCAAUAUCUUCGCCAGUAUCUCAGUAAUUUAUCACAGAAUCUCAUUAGCUUAGCAAAAAGGAUGUAGCAAAUUGUCAAGAAAACAAAUUUUGAAACAUGUUGGGAGAUUCUUUGAUUGUACCGGUGGUCAUAAUUGCUGACUUGAUAGCUGCUGGACUCCAUUCUGGAUGAAGUGUUUUGAGAAGGCCUACAAUGCCAGAUACAUGGGGGCAUGCCAUGGAAGUUCCAGUCAAUGAAUUUAAAGGAACCCUUCUAUCAUCUGAUAGUAAUCCAGAUACACUUGUGGCUUCUGAGUAAGCAGCAAUUAUGUUCACCCCAGGUGCAGUUAUGUCAGGCUGAAAAAACAAAACCAAUUGUAACAAAAUCAAUUAUCUACACAUGAUAUGAAAGGAACAAAUGAGGUGCUUAUGUUUGCAUAUCUGUUGGCACCGGUGCAAACAAAUGUUAGCAUGCACUUCAAGAUAAAAAGUGAACCGAGCUUUUCUUAUGUAUUAAGAUGAACGUUUAUUUUACAUUGCA